AUACAAUGACUGAAAUAAAAAAUUCACUAGAAGCAACCAACAGCAGAAUACAGGAGGCAGAAGAAUGAAUAAGUGAGGUGGAGGACAGAUUAGUGGAAAUUAUGGAUCCGAAACAGAAAAGAGAAAAAAGAUUGAAAACAAAUGAAGAGAGUCUCAGAGAACUCUGGGACAAUGUGAAACGCAACAACAUCCGUAUUAUAGGGGUGCCAGAAGGAGGAGAGAGAGAAGGGGCCAGAAAAAAUAUUCGAAGAGAUAAUAGCCAAAAACUUCCCUAACAUGGGAAAGGAACCCAUCACUAAAAUCUAGGAAGUGCAAUGAGUGCCAUAUAAAAUAAACCCAAGGAGGAAUACCCCAAGACACAUAUUAAUCAAACUUAUUGAAAUUAAAGCCAAAGUAUUGAAAGCAGCUAGGGAGAAGAAAUGACAUACAAGGGAACCCCGAUAAGGUUAUAGGCUGAUUUUUCAGCAGAAACUCUGCAGGCCAGAAGGGAGUGGCAUGAUAUACUUAACGUGAUGAAAGGAAAAAACCUCCAACCAAGAUUCCUUGACCCAGCAAGGCUCUCAUUCAGUUUUGAAGGAGAAAUCAAAAGCUUCACAGAUAAGCAAAAGCUAAGAGAAUUCAGCAACACUAAACCAGCUUUACAACAAAUACUAAAGGGACUUCACUAGGCAGAAAUAAAAAGGCUACAACCAGAAACAAAAAUACCGCAAAUGACAAGGCUCACCAGUAAAGGUAUAUAUACAGUAAAGAUAUGAAAUCAUCCGUUCACAGUUUUGCCACCAAAAUCAGAAAUCAUGAGAAGAGGUGGGUACAAAUGCAGGACACUGGAGAUGCACUUGCAAUUAAGAGACCAACAACUUAAAACAAUCUCAUAUAUAUAUGAGACUUAAAACAAUCUCAUAUAUAUACGUGUAGACUCAUAUGUAUAUAUAUGAGACUCAUGUAGUCUCAUGUAUAUAUAUAUGAAUCUCAUAUAUAGUCUCAUAUAAACUUAAAAACAAUCUCAUAUUUAUACAUAUAGACUCAUAUCAAAACUUCAGAAUAACUGCUAACCAAAAAUCUACAAUUGAUACACAAACAAAUAAGAAAAAUCAACUCAAAUACAACACUAACGAUAGUCAUCAAACCAGAAUAGGAGAGAAGAAGAGCAACAAAAACAAAUCCAAAGCAAUUAAUAAAAUGGCAAUAAGAAAAAAAAA
rnacentral:lncRNA from 1 species